UACGGAGGGUGCAAGCGUUAUCCGGAUUCACUGGGUUUAAAGGGUGCGUAGGCGGACAGGUAAGUCAGUGGUGAAAUCCCCGGGCCUAACCCGGGAACUGCCAUUGAUACUAUAGGUCUUGAAUUCAGUUGAGGUGGGCGGAAUGUGUCGUGUAGCGGUGAAAUGCUUAGAUAUGACACAGAACACCGAUUGCGAAGGCAGCUCGCUAAACUGACAUUGACGCUGAGGCACGAAAGCGUGGGGAUCAAACAGG
rnacentral:rRNA from 1 species